rnacentral:rRNA from 1 species
GACGAACGCUGGCGGCGUGCCUAAUACAUGCAAGUAGAACGCAGUUGCGAACGGGUGAGUAACGCUUAGGUAACUUCCUGGUAGCGGGGGAUAACUAUUGGAAACGAUAGCUAAUACCGCAUACUACCAGAUGGACCUGCGUUGUAUUAGGUAGUUGGUGAGGUAACGGCUCACCAAGGCAACGAUACAUAGCCGACCGUAGAGGGUGGUCGGCCAACCUGGGAAUGGGGAAAGGCCCAGACUCCUACGGGAGGCAGCAGUAGGGGAACUUCGGAAAUGGGGGGAACCCUGACCGAGCAACGCCGCGUGAGUGAAGAAGGUUUUCGGAUCGGAAAGCUCUGUUGUUAAGGAAGCGGUAAUUAACCAGAAAGGGACGGCUAACUACGUGCCAGCCGCCGCGGUAAUAC